GGGUGACAGAGAGUCUCAGGUGAGCCCCAGAGAGUCUCAGGUGUUCAGCACCUGGCGAGAACAGCCCCGUUCCACCUUCGCGGUUCCACCUCAGCCUCCCACUGCUUGUCUGGGUGGAAAAUGGGUCAUAAGGCACCAGAAAACAAGAAAUCCCAAUCCAUAAGGGAGUGUCCACGCUGCAUGCAGCUAGACUGCAAAAUCAGAGCCAUCUCGUACCACAAAUUAUGCCUCACAAAGGAAAGAAAAAAAAGAAGAAAAACCUGGGGGAAAACAAGUGAAGCCUCUCCCAUCUGUGCAUGACUGAAAUCCAGAGCCUCCCAAUGUAUUUGUGGAAGAUGUGUGUAUUUGUGUUUCUCUGCAAAAUCAGCAAGAGAAAAUGAACAAAAAUGGUUGAAAUCUUAA